GAUGGACCCGCGUCUGAUUAGCUAGUUGGUGGGGUAACGGCCAACCAAGGCGACGAUCAGUAGCCGGCCUGAGAGGGUGAACGGCCACAUUGGGACUGAGACGCGGCCCAAACUCCUACGGGAGGCAGCAGUGGGGAAUAUUGCACAAUGGGGGAAACCCUGAUGCAGCGACGCCGCGUGAAGGAAGAAGUAUUUCGGUAUGUAAACUUCUAUCAGCAGGGAAGAAAAUGACGGUACCUGACUAAGAAGCCCCGGCUAACUACGUGCCAGCAGCCGCGGUAAUACGUAGGGGGCAAGCGUUAUCCGGAUUUACUGGGUGUAAAGGGAGCGUAGGCGGUAUGGUAAGUCAGAUGUGAAAACCCAGGGCUCAACCCUGGGACUGCAUUUGAAACUGCCAGACUAGAUUGCAGGAGAGGUAAGUGGAAUUCCUAGUGUAGCGGUGAAAUGCGUAGAUAUUAGGAGGAACACCAGUGGCGAAGGCGGCUUACUGGACUGUAAAUGACGCUGAGGCUCGAAAGCGUGGGGAGCAAACAGGAUUAGAUACCCUGGUAGUCCACGCC
rnacentral:rRNA from 1 species